GGGUUGUGAGGUUAAGCGACUAAGCGUACACGGUGGAUGCCCUGGCAGUCAGAGGCGAUGAAGGACGUGCUAAUCUGCGAUAAGCGUCGGUAAGGUGAUAUGAACCGUUAUAGCCGGCGAUUUCCGAAUGGGGAAACCCAGUGUGAUUCGUCACACUAUCGUUAACUGAAUACAUAGGUUAACGAAGCGAACCGGGGGAACUGAAACAUCUAAGUACCCCGAGGAAAAGAAAUCAACCGAGAUUCCCCCAGUAGCGGCGAGCGAACGGGGAGCAGCCCAGAGUCUGAAUCAGCUUGUGUGUUAGUGGAACGGUCUGGAAAGUCCGACGGUACAGGGUGAUAGUCCCGUACACCAAAAUGCACAGGUUGUGAACUCGAAGAGUAGGGCGGGACACGUGGUAUCCUGUCUGAAUAUGGGGGGACCAUCCUCCAAGGCUAAAUACUCCUGACUGACCGAUAGUGAACCAGUACCGUGAGGGAAAGGCGAAAAGAACCCCGGCGAGGGGAGUGAAAAAGAACCUGAAACCGUGUACGUACAAGCAGUGGGAGCCUCUUUAUGGGGUGACUGCGUACCUUUUGUAUAAUGGGUCAGCGACUUAUAUUCUGUAGCAAGGUUAACCGUAUAGGGGAGCCGAAGGGAAACCGAGUCUUAACUGGGCGUUAAGUUGCAGGGUAUAGACCCGAAACCCGGUGAUCUAGCCAUGGGCAGGUUGAAGGUUGGGUAACACUAACUGGAGGACCGAACCGACUAAUGUUGAAAAAUUAGCGGAUGACUUGUGGCUGGGGGUGAAAGGCCAAUCAAACCGGGAGAUAGCUGGUUCUCCCCGAAAGCUAUUUAGGUAGCGCCUCGUGAACUCAUCUUCGGGGGUAGAGCACUGUUUCGGCUAGGGGGUCAUCCCGACUUACCAACCCGAUGCAAACUGCGAAUACCGAAGAAUGUUAUCACGGGAGACACACGGCGGGUGCUAACGUCCGUCGUGAAGAGGGAAACAACCCAGACCGCCAGCUAAGGUCCCAAAGUCAUGGUUAAGUGGGAAACGAUGUGGGAAGGCACAGACAGCCAGGAUGUUGGCUUAGAAGCAGCCAUCAUUUAAAGAAAGCGUAAUAGCUCACUGGUCGAGUCGGCCUGCGCGGAAGAUGUAACGGGGCUAAACCAUGCACCGAAGCUGCGGCAGCGACACUAUGUGUUGUUGGGUAGGGGAGCGUUCUGUAAGCCGUUGAAGGUGUAUCGUGAGGUAUGCUGGAGGUAUCAGAAGUGCGAAUGCUGACAUAAGUAACGAUAAUGCGGGUGAAAAACCCGCACGCCGGAAGACCAAGGGUUCCUGUCCAACGUUAAUCGGGGCAGGGUGAGUCGACCCCUAAGGCGAGGCCGAAAGGCGUAGUCGAUGGGAAACAGGUUAAUAUUCCUGUACUUGGUGUUACUGCGAAGGGGGGACGGAGAAGGCUAUGUUAGCCGGGCGACGGUUGUCCCGGUUUAAGCAUGUAGGCGGAGGUUCCAGGUAAAUCCGGUACCUUUUAACGCUGAGGUGUGAUGACGAGGCACUACGGUGCUGAAGUAACAAAUGCCCUGCUUCCAGGAAAAGCCUCUAAGCAUCAGGUAACACGAAAUCGUACCCCAAACCGACACAGGUGGUCAGGUAGAGAAUACCAAGGCGCUUGAGAGAACUCGGGUGAAGGAACUAGGCAAAAUGGUGCCGUAACUUCGGGAGAAGGCACGCUGAUAUGUAGGUGAAGCGGUUUACCCGUGGAGCUGAAAUCAGUCGAAGAUACCAGCUGGCUGCAACUGUUUAUUAAAAACACAGCACUGUGCAAACACGAAAGUGGACGUAUACGGUGUGACGCCUGCCCGGUGCCGGAAGGUUAAUUGAUGGGGUUAUCCGUAAGGAGAAGCUCUUGAUCGAAGCCCCGGUAAACGGCGGCCGUAACUAUAACGGUCCUAAGGUAGCGAAAUUCCUUGUCGGGUAAGUUCCGACCUGCACGAAUGGCGUAAUGAUGGCCAGGCUGUCUCCACCCGAGACUCAGUGAAAUUGAACUCGCUGUGAAGAUGCAGUGUACCCGCGGCAAGACGGAAAGACCCCGUGAACCUUUACUAUAGCUUGACACUGAACACUGGUCCUUGAUGUGUAGGAUAGGUGGGAGGCUUUGAAGUGUGGACGCCAGUCUGCAUGGAGCCAUCCUUGAAAUACCACCCUUUAAUGGCUGGUGUUCUAACGUGGACCCGUGAUCCGGGUUGCGGACAGUGUCUGGUGGGUAGUUUGACUGGGGCGGUCUCCUCCUAAAGAGUAACGGAGGAGCACGAAGGUUAGCUAAUCCUGGUCGGACAUCAGGAGGUUAGUGCAAAGGCAUAAGCUAGCUUGACUGCGAGAGUGACGGCUCGAGCAGGUGCGAAAGCAGGUCUUAGUGAUCCGGUGGUUCUGAAUGGAAGGGCCAUCGCUCAACGGAUAAAAGGUACUCCGGGGAUAACAGGCUGAUACCGCCCAAGAGUUCAUAUCGACGGCGGUGUUUGGCACCUCGAUGUCGGCUCAUCACAUCCUGGGGCUGAAGUAGGUCCCAAGGGUAUGGCUGUUCGCCAUUUAAAGUGGUACGCGAGCUGGGUUUAGAACGUCGUGAGACAGUUCGGUCCCUAUCUGCCGUGGGCGCUGGAGAAUUGAGGGGGGCUGCUCCUAGUACGAGAGGACCGGAGUGGACGCAUCACUGGUGUUCGGGUUGUCAUGCCAAUGGCAUUGCCCGGUAGCUAAAUGCGGAAGAGAUAAGUGCUGAAAGCAUCUAAGCACGAAACUUGCCCCGAGAUGAGUUCUCCCUGAGACUUUAAGUCUCCUGAAGGAACGUUGAAGACGACGACGUUGAUAGGUCGGGUGUGUAAGUGUAGUGAUACAUUGAGCUAACCGAUACUAAUGAACCGUGAGGCUUAACCUUACAACGCCGAAG
rnacentral:rRNA from 1 species